UACGUAGGGUGCGAGCGUUUGUCCGGAAUUACUGGGCGUAAAGAGCUCGUAGGUGGUUUGUCGCGUUGUUCGUGAAAUCUCACGGCUUAACUGUGAGCGUGCGGGCGAUACGGGCAGACUAGAGUACUGCAGGGGAGACUGGAAUUCCUGGUGUAGCGGUGGAAAUGCGCAGAUAUCAGGAGGAACACCGGUGGCGAAGGCGGGGUCUCUGGGCCGUAACUGACGCUGAGGAGCGAAAGCAUGGGGAGCGAACAGG
rnacentral:rRNA from 1 species